GAGUUUGAUCCUGGCUCAGAUUGAACGCUGGCGGCAUGCCUUACACAUGCAAGUCGAACGGCAGCAUGAUCUAGCUUGCUAGAUUGAUGGCGAGUGGCGAACGGGUGAGUAAUACAUCGGAACGUGCCCUGUAGUGGGGGAUAACUAGUCGAAAGAUUAGCUAAUACCGCAUACGACCUGAGGGUGAAAGUGGGGGACCGGCAAGGCCUCAUGCUAUAGGAGCGGCCGAUGUCUGAUUAGCUAGUUGGUGGGGUAAAGGCCCACCAAGGCGACGAUCAGUAGCUGGUCUGAGAGGACGAUCAGCCACACUGGGACUGAGACACGGCCCAGACUCCUACGGGAGGCAGCAGUGGGGAAUUUUGGACAAUGGGCGAAAGCCUGAUCCAGCAAUGCCGCGUGUGUGAAG
rnacentral:rRNA from 1 species